GACGAACGCUGGCGGCGUGCUUAACACAUGCAAGUCGAACGGUAAGGCCCUUCGGGGUACACGAGUGGCGAACGGGUGAGUAACACGUGGGUGAUCUGCCCUGCACUUCGGGAUAAGCCUGGGAAACUGGGUCUAAUACCGGAUAGGACCACUGCCUGCAUGGGUGGUGGUGGAAAGCUUUUGCGGUGUGGGAUGGGCCCGCGGCCUAUCAGCUUGUUGGUGGGGUGAUGGCCUACCAAGGCGACGACGGGUAGCCGGCCUGAGAGGGUGGCCGGCCACACUGGGACUGAGAUACGGCCCAGACUCCUACGGGAGGCAGCAGUGGGGAAUAUUGCACAAUGGGCGCAAGCCUGAUGAAGCGACGCCGCGUGAGGGAUGACGGCCUUCGGGUUGUAAACCUCUUUCAGCACCGACGAAGCGCAAGUGACGGUAGGUGCAGAAGAAGGACCGGCCAACUACGUGCCAGCAGCCGCCGUAA
rnacentral:rRNA from 1 species